rfam:Neoasaia chiangmaiensis strain NBRC 101099, complete genome.
GCUGCUGUAGCUCAGUGGUAGAGCACUCCCUUGGUAAGGGAGAGGUCGCGAGUUCAAUCCUCGCUAGCAGCA